UAAGUGUCUCACUGACGAUGUGAAAAGACCUUGGUCCUAAGCACCACUUCUUUUUCAGAAAGCAACAAGGGAUUCGUCACAUCCGCAGCAGAAAAGCGUUUAUUGGCGACUCCAGAAAUGCCCGCAUAAACCUCAGUCUGGGUCAGAAGAAGCACUCAGGUGUGCCCACCUCUGUUUCUCAAGACUUCGUGAGUAUCUCCUUCUGUCCAGCUCACAGAUGACCACUGGAAUGUCAUGAGCAUUUGGAAAUCACUGCUUUUGCCUUGAAGAUGUGCAAGGAGGACUCGAUUUCUCUCUCAAAGCUCCUUUUCAACACACAGCCAGCCAGCAACGGAGUUCAGAACAUAUGGAAAAGGCACCAAGCGUCUGACCUUCUGCUGGAAGAGACCUUUACUUGAGAUUUGUCCAGUGUGUAUCUUACAUAGAAACUAGUGUUAAGUAUACAAAGCAAAACCACAUUUUUGGCUUUAGUGAAACAAAUUGCAGCCCCUGACACUCCAAAAGAAUGCAGGCUACAGAAAAAGGAAGAAAAAAAAAUUAAUGCAUCCAAAGUAAAAGAAAUCCAACAUGCUUAAAUCCAAACCCUCCCAAAUGUUGUAUUUAAAUUAAAAUAUCAAGGGAAUAAUUUCCUUUGAUAGACACAGUAUUUCUGCUCAAAAGGUCCUGUGCAAGUCUCUUUCUGCAUGUACA